rnacentral:rRNA from 1 species
CCUACGGGUGGCAGCAGUGAGGAAUAUUGGUCAAUGGGCGGGAGCCUGAACCAGCCAAGUAGCGUGAAGGAUGACUGCCCUCCGGGUUGUAAACUUCUUUUAUAAGGGAAUAAAGUGAGGCACGUGUGCCUUUUUGUAUGUACUUUAUGAAUAAGGAUCGGCUAAUUCCGUGCCAGCAGCCGCGGUAAUACGGAGGAUCCGAGCGUUAUCCGGAUUUAUUGGGUUUAAAGGGAGCGUAGGUGGGUUCUUAAGUCAGGGGGUAAAGUCUGCGGCUCAACCGUAAGAUUGCCAUUGAUACUGGGAGCCUUGAGUACAGGCAGGGUAGGUGGAAUUCGUGGUGUAGCGGUGAAAUGCUUAGAUAUCACGAAGAACUCCGAUCGCGAAGGCAGCCUACCAAACUGCCACUGACAUUGAUGCUCGAAAGUGUGGGGAUCAAACAGGAUUAGAUACCCGUGUAGUC